ensembl:lncRNA
GUUUUGGACACCCCUUUCAAUAACAGGCCAGGGACUGGAGGACUACAGUACCUUUCUGCAGAGUUCAAUUCCAAGCCACUUCAACACACCUGCCUCUUCCCCUGGACCAGCUUCAUUCCUUGGACCAGCCCUGGAUUUAACAUCUGGUAUGCCAUCCACAGGAAGAUGAUUUGGGAUCCAGAUGAACCUAUUUUUGACCUUAGUCAUAAUGUGACCCAUAAAAAGAUCAUUCCAAAUAGAGGGGCUUUCCAGCACCAAACACAAAGACUCUCGAGAUACAGCAAAGACAGUGUGACAUCAGCUCUGAGGAACUGGAAGAAGCUGCUGUCAUGUGAUGCUGAGUCAAGAUGAGCUCAUGAAAAACAAGGCACCUGACAUGCAUACUGUCUUACUCCAGAUAUUUGAAGCUUAUUGCCACAUGCUGGGAUGGCUGAUCUGCUCAUCACAUUUGUGCUGAUGUAAUUUACAGGAAAG